rnacentral:lncRNA from 1 species
CUACCAUAUACAGACACCAACUAGUAUCCCCUUUAUGAUCUAGCCAGGUCAUUACAGUAUAUACAGUAUCUCUACCAUAUACAGACACCAACUAGUAUCCCCUUUAUGAUCUAGCCAGGCCAUUACAGUAUAUACAGUAUCUCUACCAUAUACAGACAUUUACAGACAACAACUAGUAUCCCCUUUAUGAUCUAGCCAGGUCAUUACAGUAUCUCUACCAUAUACAGACACCAAUUAGUAUCCCCUUUAUGAUCUAGCCAGGUCAUUACAGUAUAUACAGUAUCUCUACCAUAUACAGACACCAACUAGUAUCCCCUUUAUGAUCUAGCCAGGUCAUUACAGUAUAUACAGUAUCUCUACCAUAUACAGACACCAACUAGUACCCCCUUUAUGAUCUAGCCAGGUCAUUACAGUAUAUACAGUAUCUCUACCAUAUACAGACACCAACUAGUAUCCCCUUUAUGAUCUAGCCAGGUCAUUACAGUAUAUACAGUAUCUCUACCAUAUACAGACACCAACUAGUAUCCCCUUUAUGAUCUAGCCUGGCCAUUACAGUAUAUUCUGUAUCUCUACCAUAUACAGACACCAACUAGUAUCCCCUUUAUGAUCUAGCCAGGUCAUUACAGUAUAUACAGUAUCUCUACCAUAUACAGACACCAACUAGUAUCCCCUUUAUGAUCUAGCCAGGUCAUUACAGUAUAUACAGUAUCUCUACCAUAUACAGACACCAACUAGUAUCCCCUUUAUGAUCUAGCCAGGUCAUUACAGUAUAUACAGUAUAUCUACCAUCUAGCCAGGUCAUUACAGUAUAUACAGUAUCUCUACCAUAUACAGACAGCCUUCCAUCUGACAGACACCAACUACUAUCCCCUUCUAUUAUGUUACAUUCAUAUUAGAUGGCAAGACUCUGUAAAAUGAGGUACUUGCUGCUGGACUGUUGCAGUGUUCUACAAUGUGCUCGACAUGGCUGCUAUCAACACGUGUUGUACAAGCAAUGCCUUGUCAAGACAGUCAGCAGGAGAGAUUUCAUGAUGGAUCUGGCAUGUGAGCUUUGUGAGAACCACAUGAACGCAGAGAAAGAAGCUACAGUCACCAAGCAGGAAGCAGGUCCUGCUCUCCCUUUUCCCCCAGACACCACAUCUCCCUCGGGGGAGAAAGAAGCUACAGUCACCAAGCAGGAAGCAGGUCCUGUUCUCUCUCUUCCCCCAGGCACCACAUCUCCCUCGGGGGAGAAAGAAGCUACAGUCACCAAGCAGGAAGCAGGUCCUGUUCUCCCUUUUCCCCCAGGCACCACAUCUCCCUCGGGGGAGAAAGAAGCUACAGUCACCAAGCAGGAAGCAGGUCCUGUUCUCCCUUUUCCCCCAGGCACCACAUCUCCCUCGGGGGAGAAAGAAGCUACAGUCACCAAGCAGGAAGCAGGUCCUGCUCUCCCUUUCCCCAGGCACCACAUCUCCCUCGGGGGAGAAAGAAGCUACAGUCACCAAGCAGGCAGCAGGUCCUGCUCUCCCAUUUCCCCCAGGCACCACAUCUCCCUCGGGGGAGAAAGAAGCUACAGUCACCAAGCAGGAAGCAGGUCCUGCUCUCUCUUUUCCCCCAGGCACCACAUCUCCCUCGGGGGAGAAAGAAGACACAAUGUCAAGUCGGCAGGUGCACACCGAACAAGGCCAGUGAAAACCGAUUAGAUUUGUUUGUGGACGCGAAGCAUAAAGAGAAGAUGGGAUUGAUUCACGUGUAAAGGUGCGGUACAGUGUCUGAUACAAUCAACAAAUUAUUGUUUUAAUAUCUUGUCAUCAAUAUAUUUCCACAAAUAUUUAUUUAUGAAAUUCAUCUUUUACAAUU